UUACUACAGAAAAUGACUGAGCGGCGAACGGGUGAGUAACGCGUGAGCAAUCUACCUUAGUUACAGGGAUAGCCCGAGGAAACUCGGAUUAAUACCUGAUAUUCUUUAUUUCUCGCAUGAGAAUAAAAGGAAAGGUCAGCCGAACUAAGAUGAGCUCGCGUUCUAUCAGCUAGUUGGUGAGGUAAAAGCUCACCAAGGCUACGACGGAUAGCUGGUCUGAGAGGACGAUCAGCCACACUGGGACUGAGACACGGCCCAGACUCCUACGGGAGGCUGCAGCAGGGAAUAUUGCGCAAUGAGCGAAAGCUUGACGCAGCGACACCGCGUGUGGGAUGACGGAUCUAGGUUUGUAAACCACUUUCAGGAGGGAAGAAAAUGACGGUACCUCCACAAGAAGCCCCGGCCAACUACGUGCCAGCAGCCGCGGUAAUACGUAGGGGGCGAGCGUUGUCCGGAUUUAUUGGGCGUAAAGAGCUCGUAGGCGGUUCAACAAGUCGGUCGUGAAAGUUCAGGGCUCAACCCUGAAAUGUCGAUCGAUACUGUUGUGACUAGGAUACGGUAGAGGUGAGUGGAAUUCCGAGUGUAGCGGUGAAAUGCGUAGAUAUUCGGAGGAACACCAAUUGCGAAGGCAGCUCACUGGGCCGCUAUCGACGCUGAGGAGCGAAAGCUAGGGGAGCAAACAGGAUUAGAUACCCUGGUAGUCCUAGCUGUAAACGAUGGAUACUAGACGUAGGAACUGGAUUGACGGUUUCUGUGUCGCAGCUAACGCGUUAAGUAUCCCGCCUGGGGAGUACGGUCGCAAGACUAAAACUCAAAGGAAUUGACGGGACCCCGCACAAGCGGCGGAGCAUGCGGCUUAAUUCGAUGAUACCCGUAGAACCUUACCUGGACUUGACAUAUAGGGUCUAGCUAUAGAGAUAUAGUGUGCAUUAGCGCCUAUACAGUGGUGCAUGGCUGUCGUCAGCUCGUGUCGUGAGACGUUGGGUUAAGUC
rnacentral:rRNA from 1 species